UACAGCCAAGAAUUUGAGAGAUGCUUC
rnacentral:piRNA from 1 species